rnacentral:lncRNA from 1 species
UUCAGAAGAGACUCAUUGGCAAGGAAAAGUAUGGCUUAGAAACUUGAUGACGACAGUGAAGUGAACAUAAAGCGAGGUGAAGCUCUCAACACGUUUUGAGCCUUGCUUCAGGGUUUAAGCGCGCUUUAAGCCCCCCUUUGAUAACACUGGCAGCAAGAACAGUUGUUAUCCCUCAUGAUUUCAAAAACAUUGUUGCAAGUAUUCUGGUGGCAUAUAACUUUUCUGGAACUCGUACGCUUACUGUUUUUAUGUUUUUCUGGAUCCAUGAUGCCUUAAUCUAUUUUUCAUUUGAUGCAAAAAGAAAGGGCAACCUGGUGCACUAAAGUGCCCGCUUUGUGCACAAAAAUCUAUUAUAUGCAGCCUUACCUUGCAUUUCUGCCAGAGGUUAUUUCCAAGGCUUGAACCGUGACCUUCCGGUCACAUGACAACAACUUUACCAGUUAGUCCAAGGCUCCCCUUCAUUUGAUGCAAUGCUCUUGAACUUUCCAAAACUGCAUUUUUGUGAGCAGUUUCUGUUGUGACUUGUUUUGGUUAGAACUGGUAUAUCUGUAUGAUUGCUACCCAUUUUGCACUGCCCUAAGAUAGCUUUUUUACUCGUAUAAGGAGCCUUUUAAUUCUACUUGUUGUGAGCUACAAGAUUCGUGUAAUUUUCCUUAAGGAACGCCAAGAAGAUUAUACCUUGUCUCAACAUGGAGUUUCAUGUUUGAGAUUCUUAACAAAUGUAACUUGAUGUUUCCAUUAUAUUCUUGAAUAAUUUUCCCGACCUGAUUUGGUAAAUGUUGCUAGUUCAAAAUGCAAGAAUCUGAGUAAAUGGUUGAUGUUUGCUUUACGGUUGAAGGAUUAGAGCCCAAGACGUGCAUUCGUCUUUGUAUAUAUGUGUGUACUGUAUAAAUAUAUAUUGAGCGUACAUGAGCACAAAUGUGCACCUGUGUAGGCAUGUUUAGGCCACUUUACAAAAACAAACAUCUGGUGUAGUGGAGAAUUACUCAUGAAUUUUGCCAAAUUGGUGAAAGAAAUCUAGAACGCGAUCAGAUGUUGAUCUAUAGCCGUGCCAGUAUGAGACCUAUCAUGGUUCUUCAGUUUCCUUAUUGUACACCCGCUAUGGCAUUCAAGUUUCAG